rnacentral:misc_RNA from 1 species
GAUGAAGAACGUAGCGAAAUGCGAUAAGUAAUGUGAAUUGCAGAAUUCAGUGAAUCAUCGAAUCUUUGAACGCACAUUGCGCCCAUUAGUAUUCUAGUGGGCAUGCCUGUUCGAGCGUCAUUAAGUCCACUUAAGCCCUGCUUAGUGUUGGGAGACUGCUCCAGCGGUGCUACCCUGUAGCUACCCUGCAGCUCCUCAAAGACAGCGGCGGAGUUGUGGUAUCCUCUGAGCUUAGUAACUUGUUCUAGCUUUCGAGUACACCACUUCCCCUGCCGUAAAACCCUUAAUUUUUAAUGGUUGACCUCGGAUCAGGUAGGAAUACCCGCUGAACUUAAGCAUAUCAAUGCGGAGGA